rnacentral:rRNA from 1 species
UAAAGAGCUCGUAGGCGGCUUGUCGCGUCUGCUGUGAAAACCAGAGGCUCAACCUCUGGCCUGCAGUGGGUACGGGCAAGCUAGAGUGCGGUAGGGGAGAUUGGAAUUCCUGGUGUAGCGGUGGAAUGCGCAGAUAUCAGGAGGAACACCGAUGGCGAAGGCAGAUCUCUGGGCCGUAACUGACGCUGAGGAGCGAAAGCAUGGGGAGCGAACAGGAUUAGAUACCCUGGUAGUCCAUGCCGUAAACGUUGGGAACUAGAUGUAGGGCCUGUUCCACGGGUUCUGUGUCGUAGCUAACGCAUUAAGUUCCCCGCCUGGGGAGUACGGCCGCAAGGCUAAAACUCAAAGGAAUUGACGGGGGCCCGCACAAGCGGCGGAGCAUGCGGAUUAAUUCGAUGCAACGCGAAGAACCUUACCAAGGCUUGACAUAUACGAGAACACUGUAGAGAUACAGGACUCUUUGGACACUCGUAAACAGGUGGUGCAUGGUUGUCGUCAGCUCGUGUCGUGAGAUGUUCGGUUAAGUCCGGCAACGAGCGCAACCCUCGUCCUAUGUUGCCAGCACGUAAUGGUGGGAACUCAUGGGAUACUGCCGUGGUCAACACGGAGGAAGGUGGGGAUGACGUCAAAUCAUCAUGCCCCUUAUGUCUUGGGCUUCACGCAUGCUACAAUGGCCGAUACAAAGGGCUGCGAUACCGCGAGGUGGAGCGAAUCCCAAAAAGUCGGUCUCAGUUCGGAUUGGGGUCUGCAACUCGACCCCAUGAAGUCGGAGUCGCUAGUAAUCGCAGAUCAGCAACGCUGCGGUGAAUACGUUCCCGGGCCUUGUACACACCGCCCGUCAAGUCAUGAAAGUCGGUAACACCCGAAGCCGGUGGCCUAACCCCUUG